UGGUCUGCCAAAUAGAUUUAUCACAAGGUGGCCAAUAGCCCUCCUCCCCCCUCCCUACCCAUCGUGGGUGCAAAUACGCCAUUUAUACAUUAGGUAACAACACUUUGACCACAUUCGCUUUGUUUUUGCUACGAUAGUAUGUCAUCAACGUCAACCAUCUCAUUUUCUAUACUUUCGGCCCCUCCUGCAACCCAGUUCUCGGGCCAUACCGCAUAGUGGGUCGCUCCAAUUCAGUAAAGUCCAAUCAGCCGACCACUCGACCGCCUUCCACUGUGCGCACUUGCUGUUGGUUAGGAUAAAGGAACACCACAUAGACGCGACGAUGACGGUGCCUGACGUCAUGACUAUCCUUCGCAAUUUUGUACAGAGGUCGUUGGCUCGGGUCAAGUGGUCAGACCUACCCUUCCUGGCCCUGGCCUUCAUGGGACUUGUCGUGCUGCUAGUGCGGCCGUUGCACAUCGCCGGCCCUCUUUCCCUCGGCAUCGUCGUGUUCCUUGCACGUGUCUGGUGGUACUGACGCACGGACAUCAGUACGGCGCGAGUGAAGCCGAGGUGACACCCACCUGGUUGCGCACUACUCUACAGGAACGCCAAGAAAUGACGGUUGCGGAUGUGCGACCACCGUGCAAUGUGCGUGCGAGGUCUACCUGUAAUAUGUACUUGUGCUGAAUAUACUUGAUUUAUGACUUUGAAAAGGGGUGAAAAAGAAAAGUUAGAGCGACUGGAGUGCAACGUCAUUGUAGCGAAGUCAACUGCAUGGAUGGCGAUUAUAAGCAAUGUCCAAUUGACAGAGGGGAGUGCGACCAACUGACGAUGGCCUUGCACCAGUGUACGGCUGUAACAAACGCUUUCAAUUCAACUGUCUUGUGUUAAUGACCCUUCAAUCGUUCCGUACACCCGGUGUACUAUAUUAUGAGGCUGCCGGCCAUAAUAAACUAUAAAGUUUGUUCGAA